rnacentral:rRNA from 1 species
GGGCCCGCACAAGCGGUGGAGCAUGUGGUUCAAUUCGACGCAACGCGAAGAACCUUACCUGGGCUAGACAACGGCGGACCGUCCUAGAAAUAGGACUUUCCCUUCGGGGACUGCCGGUUCAGGUGCUGCAUGGCUGUCGUCAGCUCGUGCCGUGAGGUGUUGGGUUAAGUCCCGCAACGAGCGCAACCCUCGUCCUUAGUUGCCACCAUUCAGUUGGGCACUCUAAGGAGACUGCCGGCGUUAAGCCGGAGGAAGGUGGGGACGACGUCAAGUCAUCAUGGCCCUUAUGUCCAGGGCCACACACGUGCUACAAUGGGCGGUACAAAGGGUCGCAAACCCGCGAGGGGGAGCCAAUCCCAAAAAGCCGCUCUCAGUUCGGAUUGGAGUCUGCAACUCGACUCCAUGAAGUUGGAAUCGCUAGUAAUCGCGGAUCAGCACGCCGCGGUGAAUACGUUCCCGGGCCUU